rnacentral:rRNA from 1 species
CCAGACUCCUACGGGAGGCAGCAGUGGGGAAUAUUGGGCAAUGGGCGAAAGCCUGACCCAGCAACGCCGCGUGAAGGAAGAAGGCUUUCGGGUUGUAAACUUCUUUUGUCAGGGACGAAGCAAGUGACGGUACCUGACGAAUAAGCCACGGCUAACUACGUGCCAGCAGCCGCGGUAAUACGUAGGUGGCAAGCGUUAUCCGGAUUUACUGGGUGUAAAGGGCGUGUAGGCGGGACUGCAAGUCAGAUGUGAAAACUCAGGGCUCAACCCUGAGCCUGCAUUUGAAACUGUAGUUCUUGAGUACUGGAGAGGCAGACGGAAUUCCUAGUGUAGCGGUGAAAUGCGUAGAUAUUAGGAGGAACACCAGUGGCGAAGGCGGCUUACUGGGCUUUUACUGACGCUGAGGCUCGAAAGCGUGGGGAGCAAACAGGAUUAGAUACCCCUGUAUA